GAACCUACGGGGGGCAGCAGUCGGGAAUAUUGCACAAUGGAGGAAACUCUGAUGCAGUGACACCGCGUAUAGGAAGAAGGUUUUCGGAUUGUAAACUAUUUUAGACAGGGAAGAAAAAAGACAGUACCUGUAGAAUAAGCUCCGGCUAACUACGUGCCAGCAGCCGCGGUAAUACGUAGGGAGCAAGCGUUAUCCGGAAUUAUUGGGUGUAAAGGGUGCGUAGGCGGCGAUGCAAGUCAGAAGUGAAAGCCCGGGGCUCAACUCCAGGACUGCUUUUGAAACUGUAUGGCUAGAUUGCAGGAGAG
rnacentral:rRNA from 1 species